CAGAUGGGCGUCCUACGAUCUAGUUACUACCAUAGGUAGCGCUAGUCAUAGACGGGUGCUUCCCGAAGAGCUGUGAGCCAAACGAUUACGUCUUCCGAGGGUGUCGGAUAGGCGAAAUCAGGCCAUAGUCUCCAGGGGGGCAUCUCAAUCCCAGGGAGGAAUUUACUUUGUUUACAGGGAGGGUGUGCGUUAACCAUGCCCAGGUUCCAAGCAUGCUAUGAACUCAGGGACAGAGUCUCAUAGGGAGUGCCCCGGAAACCCCGUGUCUACUGACGAUUUUCGUCUUUAGAUACGACGCUACAACCCAGUCAGUUUCAAACCAACUUGCAAUCACCCUUCGCGUCCCAAGAGGGGAGUCUGAUUGUACAGAGACGAAACCAGACUAGCGUCACUCACGUUCUCGGCGGAACCGGUUCGUGAGAUUUACUUUUUUACUUGCUAUCGAUGAUAAUUUUGGCACUGGUGAUGUUGGAGCAUAGACGUUGGUGCUCUUGGUGGUGGGAGGGAGGAGUGGAUUCGGGGGGACUUGUUUGCAAGACAGGAGGUGUGGGGAGAGUGAGGGGUGGUGGGUGGAGGAUGGUUGAUGAGGGGAGUUGGAAGGGGGUUGUGGAUGGCAGAUGAGGGGAGUUGGAAGGGGGUUGUGGAUGGCAGAUGAGGGGCGGUGGAAGGAGACGAGGGCUGGAAGACGAGGGGAGUUGGAAGGUGAUGAGCAGUGGAAGAUGAGGGGUGGUGGGAGGCCGUCGGCCGUGGAUUGUGGCUGCUUGGAGUGUGUGACGGAGAAAUCCUGGAACCUUCGGGUUGUUUGGCCUUCUAAUCACAUCCGUGUGUGGGGGAGAAAGCACUUGAACCUUCGGGUUGCGUGUCCUUCUCAAUCACAUCCGUGUGUGAGGGGAAAAGCACUGGAACCCUCGUUCUCAAUCACCUCUGGGUGCGAGGGAGAAAGUGCUCGAGUCUUCGGGUUGUGGUCUUCUCAAUCACAUCUUCCAGGGAUGGUUGAGGGGAUGCCGGGAGAGGGAUAGGGCAUUCUAUUGGGAUAUUGGGAUAGUGUGGGUGGGAUAUAUAAUUAAUGUAUUGAUUGUCUUGA
rnacentral:misc_RNA from 1 species